rnacentral:rRNA from 1 species
GACGAACGCUGGCGGCGUGCUUAACACAUGCAAGUCGAACGGAAAGGCCCUGCUUUUGUGGGGUGCUCGAGUGGCGAACGGGUGAGUAACACGUGAGUAACCUGCCCUUUACUUUGGGAUAACUUCAGGAAACUGGGGCUAAUACCGGAUAGGAGCUCCUGCUGCAUGGUGGGGGUUGGAAAGUUUCGGCGGUUGGGGAUGGACUCGCGGCUUAUCAGCUUGUUGGUGGGGUAGUGGCUUACCAAGGCUUUGACGGGUAGCCGGCCUGAGAGGGUGAACGGCGACAUUGGGACUGAGAUACGGCCCAGACUCCUACGGGAGGCAGCAGGGGGGAAUAUUGCACAAUGGGCGGAAGCCUGAUGCAGAAACGCCGCGUGCGGGAUGACGGCCUUCGGGUUGUAAACCGCUUUCGCCUGUGACGAAGCGUGAGUGACGGUAAUGGGUAAAGAAGCACCGGCUAACUACGUG